CUAGUAUAUAGUAAGGGCUCAAAAAGUGAAGCCUGCUAUGGAAUUAUGACUAUUAAUAAUUCAUGCUCUAAUUUAAGAAAUUGCCUGGUUUAACUAGCCUCAGGCAGAGGCUGGGACUGUUUUCUCAUCAGGCCUCAGCUACACGGCUACAAUAUAGAGAGGUUCCUUUUCAGAUAUGCACACACACUUGCUUCUCUCAUCACUGAUGAUGCUUGCUCUCUCUAGUCAAUUAAUAUGAUCCACCUCUUAGGGUAAUCAUUUCCCUAAGGACCAAAUGUGCCUACACUCAGUUGCACCCAUUGUAAUGCAAUUAAUUUUUCCAAUAAUAUCCAUCUAAUAGAUAGGUACAUUAUAAAUGAGAGCCAUAAUAAUAAGCUACCUCCUGUUUGCUCAUUUUGAAGAGACUCAUUAGGGACAGUGGUCCUCAAUGUUAAUGAAGUGACACAAUCCAAUUAGAAGAUUGCAGUUACACAUGGUAGUGGUAGAAUGAGAGGAAUUGCUACCUAACAGGUAAUGUCACUGUCUGUGCCUUGUUUUUGCCCUCCGUGGGGUUGUUUCUGCUUUGGUCCAGAUCUCACUCUGUCCUUGGGCCUACUUUGGGAUUCUGCCAUCUUCUGAAUGCUGGUAAAUGCCUAAGCUGUAAACAGCUUGCUUUUCUGCAGAACAGCUCAUGCCUGAAAAAGUUGAUAAUGAUUUUAAAAUUUCUUUUAAUUGAGUUUUUAAUUACAACACAGAUAGCAAAUAUCCCUAUCACAUGUAAUUUUGACAAAGAUAACAAGCAAUUUCAUAUUCUUUGGAGAAUGACAGUGUGGGAGCCUACAGUUAAGUACCGACUGCCUUGUUUUUAGACAGGAAUAUCUGACAACCACUCACUCAGGGAAGGUCAGGAACUGGAACAUCUGGAUCUCAAUAAAUUGUUCAAUAUAACAAUCCAAGUGCUAUAACACAAGCUGCUACUGGGAAUGUAAAUCUGACUGGCUGGUUUAGGAUCUUGUCUUUCUAAUUAAUAGACCACGUAUUAUGAAUUGGGAUACUGUAGAGCCAAUUGGUGUAUGGGCAUGCCUUCACCUUAAAUAAAUUUUUUUAUCUUCAGAUCUUAUCACAUCAGAAAAAAAUAUGCAGAUAAAUUAUUCCAAAAUGCAAAGCUUAAAUUUGAUAUGGGUGCCGUGUUUCUUCAUUACUUUCCUUUAUUGGCAUUUACUUAAGAGUUCUAGAGCCAUGCCCAGAGUUCCAGAACUCCAGAGCUAAAAUUAGACAAAGAAACUUCUCCAUCUCAGAGAGCAGAGAACUCGCCCACAUUAGCUGAUCUACUAGCACCUCCCACAGACUCACAAAGGCCAUUUGCAUAACUCCCAUGCCUCCUAGUAACAUCCAAAGGCUCAAGCUGAUGUAUCUUUUUCAACCACAGAGCAGUAAUUAUCAGACUUUUGCAUUUCAAAAACCUGGAAAACAAAAAUUCUUCUUAAUUCAAGUCCUACAGAGUGGUCAACUUCUUAUUUUGCUAGUGCCAAAGCUGUGGAUAUUCAAUGAUGUUUAUCAACUCUCCCCCUGCCGCUGCAGUCCUACCCUGCACUGCUAAUCCUCCCUCAGCAAACAGAUGCCCCGGAACAAUAUAGGGUACAGAGUGACCAUGCAGUGUUGAUUGAUCGAACAGCAACCACCACAUACAUGUCCUGCCCCACCACAAAAGGAAGGAAAGAAUAAAAGAAAGAAAGAAAGAAACAAAAAACAAAACUAAGCAAGACAAAACAAAUACCCAUGUCAGUGGUUCAAAGAUUAAGAUUGUGGCUUUAUGUAAAGUUCUUUCCCUUUGUAGACUUGCUGCGUAAUUAUUCAGGUAUGAUGGUUACAGUUUUUAAAAAGGAAGGGAAAUUGUGGUAUGUGGUAUGUAAAUAUUUUGAAAUGUUGUCUCUCUGUUUUGAUCAGUUUUUGUUUUAUUCAAUUUGUCUUUAUUAAAUCUUAUCAAAGCAAAGCUUGUUCUUCCCAUUUCUCUGUUUUGAUUACAGGACUACUGAAUGGAGAGCUUUCUGAUUUCUCCAAGGGAAUUGUUUUGUAGAAAAGGCCAUGCUAGAUUUCCCUUGCCACUGCCUCUUUCUGCUUGGAAGGUAACUUUUACCAAGAGCUAUAGCCUCUUAAUCUUUUAGUGGAAAUUGCUCUUGUGAAAACGAGCCCUGAUAGUAUCUUGGCUCACUAAUUCAUGCCAUGUGGCUCAAAAUUAAAGCAUUAAAAUUUCAUAGAUAUAAUACCAUUUAUAAAUCAUGUCAUAAAAACAUUCAUUUUCUUAUAGACCUUGAAAACUGGGCAUGUAUUCUUCCUCCAGCUGUUGCUUAAAAUUCAUUACAGCAUACCAGUAUUUGUCAAAAACAAAGCUCUGGUAAAGUGGGGAGAUAUUUAGGAGCAACACCCUCAGAGCAUCAAGGCACUGUCCUCCCAGCAUUGUGCACAUGUUGCUCCCAUUAGUGGUCAUGGAAACUGCAAGCCCACCUCUGUGUAAUCGGAGAU